rnacentral:lncRNA from 1 species
UAUACGCAUGGUUGGCUGGACAGAAUCCAGCAGGGACUUUGCUUGUAUAGUAGCAUGGAUUGAAAUAGAAGGUCAUAGAGCAAAAAUAGUUGUGCCCCUGGAUCCUAAUGCUGUUUUUGUAUCUGCAGCAUGUACAAACUUAAUGCUUGACUUAUCUACUCAUCAAUUAUGUGAUUUCAUUUUUGCUUGCAGUUAGGGUGCCUAAUCAAUUUGUUCUUCCAAUCAUGAAUAAAUUUUAUAGGCAUUAUUCUCUCUAAAAUGCUGAAAAUCAUUCAAGAUUACAAAAAUCUGACUGUAUGCAAAAUUUUUAUGAAGAAUUAAAUAGAUUGCCAACUAUUCAAUGGUUGACAAAUUUUCUGAAUUAUCUGCAUAUAAAGAUAUACUUAGUUUCUAAAUAACCAUUUUCACUAGUUCCCGCAUGCAGUUGCGCACACUAUAAUUUUGCAUCUUCUUUAUGAGUUAGAAUUAAUUUCUUUAUUAAAUCACACUUUUGAACUUUUUUUUCAAAUUAUGAAUCCCUACGGAGUUAUUUUCGAUAAUUAACUUGUGAGUGUUUAAAGGCUUGUUCCUGCCCUAAUGUUGCAAAGUCAUUUUUGUGCAGAUUGGGCAGGCUUCUGAUGGAGGAAAUGAUUAGAUGUUUAUAUAUUUGGAUUAGAUAUUUAUAUAUCUGCUAUGUUUGAUUUGGUAAUAAAUAGAAGCAUAAUAUAUGGUAGUGGACCAUGACCCCAUUUGGAUUUGUGUUGUUGAAGACCUCUCA